rnacentral:rRNA from 1 species
UACGGGGGGGGCAAGCGUUGUUCGGAAUUACUGGGCGUGAAGGGCUCGUAGGCGGCCAACUAAGUCGGAUGUGAAAUCCCCAGGCUUAACCUGGGAACUGCAUCCGAUACUGGAUGGCUUGAAUCCGGGAGAGGGAUGCAGAAUUCCAGGUGUAGCGGUGAAAUGCGUAGAUAUCUGGAGGAAUACCGGUGGCGAAGGCGGCAUCCUGGACCGGCAUUGACGCUGAUGAGCAAAAGCUAGGGGAGCAAACGGG